rnacentral:lncRNA from 1 species
UACCCAUGGUCGUAAGGGAUUCCUUUUAAAUCCCUGAACCACAUAAAUUUGGUGUGCUCCUCUGUUCCUAAACUCUCUGACCUCUCUUUUAUUUGAUUGUUCACUAUGACAUAGGUGCUUUGCUGCAAAUACUCCCUUCUUUAGAAUGUAAUCUAGGAUUACGUAUAGUGCCAAUAUGGGAGUAUCCCAUUAAUCAAUGUGAUGAAAUUCGGCAUGCUUAUAUUAAAGCAGGAUCAUA